CGUCGAACGAACCUUCGGGUUAGUGGCGGAUGGGUGAGUAACGCGUGAGAAUCUGCCCUCAGGAGGGGGAUAACGGUUGGAAACGACCGCUAAUACCCCAUAUGCCUACUGGUGAAAUGAAUUUCGCCUGAGGAUGAGCUCGCGUCUGAUUAGCUAGUUGGUGAGGUAAUGGCUCACCAAGGCUUCGAUCAGUAGCUGGUCUGAGAGGAUGAUCAGCCACACUGGGACUGAGACACGGCCCAGACUCCUACGGGAGGCAGCAGUGGGGAAUUUUCCGCAAUGGGCGAAAGCCUGACGGAGCAACGCCGCGUGAGGGACGAAGGCCUCUGGGCUGUAAACCUCUUUUCUCAAGGAAGAAGAUAUGACGGUACUUGAGGAAUAAGCCACGGCUAAUUCCGUGCCAGCAGCCGCGGUAAUACGGGAGUGGCAAGCGUUAUCCGGAAUUAUUGGGCGUAAAG
rnacentral:rRNA from 1 species